rnacentral:rRNA from 1 species
UACGUAGGGGGCAAGCGUUGUCCGGAAUCAUUGGGCGUAAAGAGCGUGUAGGCGGCUCGAUAAGUCCGCUGUGAAAGUCCAGGGCUCAACCCUGGAAGGCCGGUGGAAACUGUCGGGCUAGAGUCCGGAAGAGGCGAGUGGAAUUCCCGGUGUAGCGGUGAAAUGCGCAGAUAUCAGGAGGAACACCGGUGGCGAAGGCGGGUCUCUGGGCCGUAACUGACGCUGAGGAGCGAAAGCGUGGGGAGCGAACAGG